rnacentral:rRNA from 1 species
GAUGAACGCUGGCGGCGUGCCUAAUACAUGCAAGUCGAGCGAACGGACGAGAAGCUUGCUUCUCUGAUGUUAGCGGCGGACGGGUGAGUAACACGUGGAUAACCUACCUAUAAGACUGGGAUAACUUCGGGAAACCGGCGCUAAUACCGGAUAAUAUUUUGAACCGCAUGGUUCAAAAGUGAAAGACGGUCUUGCUGUCACUUAUCGAUGGAUCCGCGCUGCAUUAGCUAGUUGGUAAGGUAACGGCUUACCAAGGCAACGAUGCAUAGACGACCUGCGAGGGUGAUCGGCCACACGGGAACUGAGACACGGUCCAGACUCCUACGGGAGGCAGCAGUAGGGAAUCUUCCGCAAUGGGCGAAAGCCUGACGGAGCAACGCCGCGUGAGUGAUGAAGGUCUUCGGAUCGUAAAACUCUGUUAUGAGGGAAGAACAUAUGUGUAAGUAACUGUGCACAGCUUGACGGUACCUAAUCAGAAAGCCACGGCUAACUACGUG